GACAGAGGGUGCAAACGUUGUUCGGAAUUACUGGGCGUAAAGCGUGCGCAGGCGGUUUUGUAAGCCAGAUGUGAAAUCCCCGGGCUUAACCUGGGAAUGGCAUUUGGGACUGCAAGGCUGGAGUGCGGCAGAGGAGACUGGAAUUCCUGGUGUAGCAGUGAAAUGCGUAGAUAUCAGGAGGAACACCGAUGGCGAAGGCAGGUCUCUGGGCUGACACUGACGCUCAUGCACGAAAGCGUGGGGAGCAAACAGG
rnacentral:rRNA from 1 species